GAUGAACGCUAGCGGCAGGCUUAAUACAUGCAAGUCGAGGGGCAGCACGGUUAGCAAUAACUGGUGGCGACCGGCGCACGGGUGCGUAACACGUAUACAAUCUACCUUAAACAGGGGGAUAGCCUUUCGAAAGAGAGAUUAAUACCCCGUAAUAAAUUGAACGGCAUCGUUUGAUUUUGAAAGCUCCGGCGGUUUGAGAUGACGUAUGCGUCUGAUUAGCUAGUUGGUGAGGUAACGGCUCACCAAGGCGACGAUCAGUAGGGGAUCUGAGAGGACUAACCCCCCACACCUGGGUACUGAGACACGGACCAGACUCCUACGGGAGGCAGCAGUAAGG
rnacentral:rRNA from 1 species